ensembl:snRNA U2 U2 spliceosomal RNA
AUUGCUUCUUGGCCUUUUGGCUAAGAUCAAGUGUAGAGUAUCCCUCAGACUCCGCAGUUUUCUUUAAAAAAAGCUAUAAAAAGGAUCUUACCUAGUUCAUUCCUCCCUUCUUUUUUAAAGGAUCUACUAUCCUCCAAAUUAAACAUACUUGUAGUUAUUCUAAUCCCUU